rnacentral:rRNA from 1 species
GACGAACGCUGGCGGCAUGCCUAACACAUGCAAGUCGAACGGACCCUUCGGGGUUAGUGGCGGACGGGUGAGUAACACGUGGGAACGUGCCUUUAGGUUCGGAAUAGCUCCUGGAAACGGGUGGUAAUGCCGAAUGUGCCCUUCGGGGGAAAGAUUUAUCGCCUUUAGAGCGGCCCGCGUCUGAUUAGCUAGUUGGUGGUGUAACGGACCACCAAGGCGACGAUCAGUAGCUGGUCUGAGAGGAUGAUCAGCCACAUUGGGACUGAGGCACGGCCCAAACUCCUACGGGAGGCAGCAGUGGGGAAUCUUGCGCAAUGGGCGAAAGCCUGACGCAGCCAUGCCGCGUGAAUGAUGAAGGUCUUAGGAUUGUAAAAUUCUUUCACCGGGGACGAUAAUGACGGUACCCGGAGAAGAAGCCCCGGCUAACUUCGUGCCAGCCGCCGCAGUAACAC